GAUGAAGAACGUAGCGAAAUGCGAUAAGUAAUGUGAAUUGCAGAAUUCAGUGAAUCAUCGAAUCUUUGAACGCACAUUGCGCCCCCUGGUAUUCCGGGGGGCAUGCCUGUCCGAGCGUCAUUACAACCCUCAAGCUCAGCUUGGUGUUGGGCCCCGCCGCCCCGGCGGGCCCUAAAGUCAGUGGCGGUGCCGUCCGGCUCCGAGCGUAGUAAUUCUUCUCGCUCUGGAGGUCCGGUCGUGUGCUCGCCAGCAACCCCCAAUUUUUUUCAGGUUGACCUCGGAUCAGGUAGGGAUAACCGCUGAACUUAAGCAUAUCAAUAAGCGGAGGA
rnacentral:misc_RNA from 1 species